GAGUUUGAUCGUGGCUCAGGACGAACGCUGGCGGCGUGCUUAACACAUGCAAGUCGAGCGGAAAGGCCCUUCGGGGUACUCGAGCGGCGAACGGGUGAGUAACACGUGAGUAACCUGUCCUCAACUUCGGGAUAAGCCUGGGAAACUGGGUCUAAUACCGGAUAGUACUUCGGGUCGCAUGGUCUGGGGUGGAAAGUUUUUUCGGUUGGGGGUGGGCUCGCGGCCUAUCAGCUUGUUGGUGGGGUGGUGGCCUACCAAGGCUUCGACGGGUAGCCGGCCUGAGAGGGCGACCGGCCACACUGGGACUGAGACACGGCCCAGACUCCUACGGGAGGCAGCAGUGGGGAAUAUUGCGCAAUGGGCGGAAGCCUGACGCAGCGACGCCGCGUGGGGGAUGACGGCC
rnacentral:rRNA from 1 species